rnacentral:rRNA from 1 species
GUGGGGAAUAUUGGACAAUGGGCGCAAGCCUGAUCCAGCCAUGCCGCGUGAGUGAUGAAGGCCCUAGGGUUGUAAAGCUCUUUCACCGAUGAAGAUAAUGACGGUAGUCGGAGAAGAAGCCCCGGCUAACUUCGUGCCAGCAGCCGCGGUAAUACGAAGGGGGCUAGCGUUGUUCGGAAUUACUGGGCGUAAAGCGCACGUAGGCGGAUAUUUAAGUCAGGGGUGAAAUCCCAGAGCUCAACUCUGGAACUGCCUUUGAUACUGGGUAUCUCGAGUAUGGAAGAGGUGAGUGGAAUUCCGAGUGUAGAGGUGAAAUUCGUAGAUAUUCGGAGGAACACCAGUGGCGAAGGCGGCUCACUGGUCCAUUACUGACGCUGAGGUGCGAAAGCGUGGGGAGCAAACAGGAUUAGAAACCCGAGUAGUCC